UAGGGAAUCUUCGGCAAUGGACGAAAGUCUGACCGAGCAACGCCGCGUGAGUGAGGAAGGCCUUCGGGUCGUAAAGCUCUGUUGUUAGGGAAGAACAAGUACCGUUCGAACAGGGCGGUACCUUGACGGUACCUAACCAGAAAGCCACGGCUAACUACGUGCCAGCAGCCGCGGUAAUACGUAGGUGGCAAGCGUUGUCCGGAAUUAUUGGGCGUAAAGCGCGCGCAGGCGGUCUCUUAAGUCUGAUGUGAAAGCCCACGGCUCAACCGUGGAGGGUCAUUGGAAACUGGGGGACUUGAGUACUGGAGAGGAGAGUGGAAUUCCAUGUGUAGCGGUGAAAUGCGUAGAGAUGUGGAGGAACACCAGUGGCGAAGGCGGCUUUUUGGUCUGUAACUGACGCUGAGGCGCGAAAGCGUGGGGAGCAAACAGGAUUAGAUACCCUGGUAGUCCACGCCGUAAACGAUGAGUGCUAAGUGUUAGAGGGUUUCCGCCCUUUAGUGCUGCAGCUAACG
rnacentral:rRNA from 1 species